rnacentral:lncRNA from 1 species
GCGGAAUCAGGGCUUUUUAGGACCCAGCGCGGCGCCUCCCUCCGGGGGCGAGUGCGGCUGCGCGCGCCGUGUGCCCGUGUCCGGAGAGCGGCGGGCUGGACGCGGACCGCGCGAGCGAGCAAGCAAGCAGGCAGCGGAGCAGCAGUCGGGGUGGAAGCAGCGUCGCGGCGGCGGCCGCGGCUCCGCGCCUCGCCUCCCUGGCCUCACCGGCCUUGCGGCGCCCGGACCAGCCACCCCCGCCUACCGGGCCCGACCUCCGCAGCCCCCUUCGCCUUGGCCGGCAGCGCCACCCGCCUGCCCGAAGCAGGGAGCGGAGCGCGGGGCGCCUAGGAACCGGAGCCAGUGCCCGCCGGCCCCGCAAACCAAACCCAGCCGGGAGAACCCCCGCCCGGCCCAGCGCUGCUCCACCAACGGUCCGGGAGCUGUCCCUUCAGCACCGCCGCGGAAGCCUGCGUCCGAGCUCAGCCCAGCGGAGCCCUAGAUCGAGCCUAAGCGCACCCGGCGCAGCGCUCAGCCGCUGCCCCACGGGGCUGUACCCGUGUGCCCCUACCCAGAGGACCCGCCAUCUCCUCCGGGAGGCGGGGAGAAGGAACAAGGAGGGCGGGCAGGCGGGCGGGCUCGCCCGCCGCCGAGGGGAGCAGGCAGCCAGGCGUGGAGAGAGGAAGGGGGCCGGAGCCCGCCCUGAGCCCCGAGCUGCAGCCCGGCCACGCAGGGAGAAAGCAGCCGGUAUCCAUCUCCCCAGCUCCUAGAGCGUGCUGCGGCGACCACCGCACAGCGGAGCUCGAAUUUCCCCGGCCCCCUCUCUUCCCCUCCCCCUUCUGGGGGUUGGUCUAUCCCUCCGGCCCUAGGAGCUGCUGACCUUCCCCCCCAAAAGCUUUGU